AGACGUCUACAUUAGAUACCCGGGUAGUCCCAGCCGUAAACAAUGUGCGUUAGGUGUGUCGGUAACCACGCGUUACUGAUGCGCCGAAGAGAAAUCGUGAAACGCACCACCUGGGAAGUACGGUCGCAAGGCUGAAACUUAAAGGAAUUGGCGGGGAGCACCACAACAGGUGGAGCCUGCGGUUUAAUUGGAUUCAACGCCGGACAUCUCACCGGAUAAGACAGCUGAAUGAUUGUCAAUCUGAAGGUUUUACAUGACUAGCUG
rnacentral:rRNA from 1 species